UACGGGGGGGGCAAGCGGUUGUUCGGAAUUACUGGGCGUAAAGGGCUCGUAGGCGGCCAACUAAGUCAGACGUGAAAUCCCCCGGCUUAACCUGGGAACUGCGUCUGAUACUGGGAGCUUGAGUAUGGGAGAGGGAUGUAGAAUUCCAGGUGUAGCGGUGAAAUUCGUAGAUAUUGGGAAGAACACCGGUGGCGAAGGCGGCGCUCUGGACCGAGACUGACGCUGAG
rnacentral:rRNA from 1 species